GGUGCGGAGCGGGUCCCCGGGCCGGGCCGGGCUCGGUGCCGCCUCCCUCAGCGCCUCUCCCGGGCUCCGGCUGCUCCGCGUCCGCCGCUCCGCUCCGCUCCGAGCCGCCCGCAGCCAGCGGCCCCCGCCCGCCCUCUCGCGAGACUUCGCCCCCCCGCCGCCCGGCCGCGGGAGGGGAGGCGGCUCCAGACGGGUGAGAGGUAAAAAUCCUGAGCCCCGCUGGCAUGUCCAGGACCCAGCUCCCCGGCCCGGGCCAUUGCAGAAUAGCCACUGCCCUGUAUCUAGCUCAGAGGAGAACCAGAGGCUAAGUGGCCUGAGCACAUGAACUCUGGAAUUCGAAUCCUGCCUCUAGUGCCUUUGUGAACUUGGAUUGCGCAAUGGAAAUCAUUGAGGUUUACUGAACAUUACUAAACAAAACUGGGAAAGAGAUGGACGGUAUGACUCAACAGCUUUCCCUUCCAGAGUGACUGCUCUGUUCUUGUGUAACUGCGAAUCAGCCAAUGUGCCACUGUAGCCUGUGGCAGCCAGGAUCAAUCAGGAUCUCAGCAGAAAAGUGUGUUGCUUUGAGAGCUCUUCCCAGACAUUCUCACUACACAGUGUUUAUUAUCCUGUCUAUGUGAAAUCCCAAAGCAAGGCUGCUGAAGUGCAGGAUGGAAAAAAUGCAACAAAGAAUGCUCGACUAUUCAGUCUUAGUCAAGUAUUUUCACCAUACAAUGCUUAGUACUGGUGCUGUGCACAGCUCCCUGUGGAAAGAAAGGGCCACUGAAUGCCCACUGGAUCCAAAGACUCCUGGUCCUGACACAAUGUUACUGGUGAUAUAUCAGUGUCUCAAGUGCAUUCACUAUCCCUGGCAGACCCACCCCAGUUCUGGUCCAUUCUGUUACAAAAAAAGAUACAUUAAAACAAAAAUAUUAUCCUAGCCAUCACAUCGUCUGGUUGGCAUCAAAACAACCAACCAACAAAAUGUUCCU